rnacentral:rRNA from 1 species
GAUUCCUGCUCAGGACGAACGCUGGCGGCGUGCCUAAUACAUGCAAGUCGAACGAACUCUGGUAUUGAUUGGUGCUUGCAUCAUGAUUUACAUUUGAGUGAGUGGCGAACUGGUGAGUAACACGUGAGAAACCUGCCCAGAAGCGGGGGAUAACACCUGGAAACAGAUGCUAAUACCGCAUAACAACUUGGACCGCAUGGUCCGAGUUUGAAAGAUGGCUUCGGCUAUCACUUUUGGAUGGUCCCGCGGCGUAUUAGCUAGAUGGUGGGGUAACGGCUCACCAUGGCAAUGAUACGUAGCCGACCUGAGAGGGUAAUCGGCCACAUUGGGACUGAGACACGGCCCAAACUCCUACGGGAGGCAGCAGUAGGGAAUCUUCCACAAUGGACGAAAGUCUGAUGGAGCAACGCCGCGUGAGUGAAGAAGGGUUUCGGCUCGUAAAACUCUGUUGUUAAAGAAGAACAUAUCUGAGAGUAACUGUUCAGGUAUUGACGGUAUUUAACCAGAAAGCCACGGCUAACUACGUGCCAGCAGCCGCGGUAAUACGUAGGUGGCAAGCGUUGUCCGGAUUUAUUGGGCGUAAAGCGAGCGCAGGCGGUUUUUUAAGUCUGAUGUGAAAGCCUUCGGCUCAACCGAAGAAGUGCAUCGGAAACUGGGAAACUUGAGUGCAGAAGAGGACAGUGGAACUCCAUGUGUAGCGGUGAAAUGCGUAGAUAUAUGGAAGAACACCAGUGGCGAAGGCGGCUGUCUGGUCUGUAACUGACGCUGAGGCUCGAAAGUAUGGGUAGCAAACAGGAUUAGAUACCCUGGUAGUCCAUACCGUAAACGAUGAAUGCUAAGUGUUGGAGGGUUUCCGCCCUUCAGUGCUGCAGCUAACGCAUUAAGCAUUCCGCCUGGGGAGUACGGCCGCAAGGCUGAAACUCAAAGGAAUUGACGGGGGCCCGCACAAGCGGUGGAGCAUGUGGUUUAAUUCGAAGCUACGCGAAGAACCUUACCAGGUCUUGACAUACUAUGCAAAUCUAAGAGAUUAGACGUUCCCUUCGGGGACAUGGAUACAGGUGGUGCAUGGUUGUCGUCAGCUCGUGUCGUGAGAUGUUGGGUUAAGUCCCGCAACGAGCGCAACCCUUAUUAUCAGUUGCCAGCAUUAAGUUGGGCACUCUGGUGAGACUGACGUUCACAAGACGAACGAAGGAAGGUGGGGAUGACGUCAAAUCAUCAUGCCCCUUAUGACCUGGGUUACACACGGGUACAAUGGAUGGUACAACGAGUUGCGAACUCGCGAGAGUAAGCUAAUCUCUUAAAGCCAUUCUCAGUUCGGAUUGUAGGCUGCAACUCGCCUACAUGAAGUCGGAAUCGCUAGUAAUCGCGGAUCAGCAUG